rnacentral:rRNA from 1 species
ACUCCUGCGGGAGGCAGCAGUGGGGAAUAUUGGACAAUGGGCGCAAGCCUGAUCCAGCCAUGCCGCGUGAGUGAUGAAGGCCCUAGGGUUGUAAAGCUCUUUCACCGGUGAAGAUAAUGACGGUAACCGGAGAAGAAGCCCCGGCUAACUUCGUGCCAGCAGCCGCGGUAAUACGAAGGGGGCUAGCGUUGUUCGGAUUUACUGGGCGUAAAGCGCACGUAGGCGGACUAUUAAGUCAGGGGUGAAAUCCCGGGGCUCAACCCCGGAACUGCCUUUGAUACUGGUAGUCUAGAGUUCGAGAGAGGUGAGUGGAAUUCCGAGUGUAGAGGUGAAAUUCGUAGAUAUUCGGAGGAACACCAGUGGCGAAGGCGGCUCACUGGCUCGAUACUGACGCUGAGGUGCGAAAGCGUGGGGAGCAAACAGGAUUAGAUACCCCAGUAGUCCCAUGA